UUGAAUUAAUUUAUUUGGCAUUUUAUUUGAUGAGUGAUAAUCUGAAAUUAAUUGUGAAUUAUGUAUGCAUGAAAUGGCAAAAUUACCCUUGUGAGGGUGUAUGUGUGAAUUUAAGCCAUGAGGGUAAAAUGGUCUUUUGACCUUUAUUUUCUACAAUUAAUAAAAGAUGGAAUUUUGAGGAAAAUGAAUAGAAAAUUCUGGUUUCUCCUCCCUCAUACCCGAACCCCUCUCUCUCUCAACCCUCUUUAAAUUUCAAACUUGAUUUUGUGAAGAUUUGCUUGGUUUGAAGCUUAGUAUUUGAGGAUUGAUUGAGCUUGGCUUUAAAUUGAGUUUGAGGAAAGGGUAAGUCAGUGGCUGAUCAACCAUGAGUUUGAGGAGCAAGAUGAAGAAUGUACAUGUUCAAGCCAUAUCAGACCAAGCGGGUUAAGGGUCUAUCAGUGAUGAACUUUUGAAUUCUAUUUUGCCGUUUAGGUCGGCUAGAAAUAAAUGACUUGUAAUAGCGUUUGUAAAUAUUUUUGGGAUCCCAACUAUUUUAAAAGUUUUAAAUAUAUUACAAGUUUAUUUUCCUUC